CUGUGAUGCCCUUAGAUGUUCUGGGCCGCACGCGCGCUACACUGAUUGGGGCAGCGAGUCCCGCGCCUCGGCCGACGGGUCCGGGUAACCUCGCGAAACUCAAUCGUGCUGGGGAUAGACCAUUGUAAUUAUUGGUCUUGAACGAGGAAUUCCUAGUAAGCGCGAGUCAUCAGCUCGCGUUGAUUACGUCCCUGCCCUUU
rnacentral:rRNA from 1 species